GAUGAAGAACGCAGCGAAAUGCGAUAAGUAAUGUGAAUUGCAGAAUUCAGUGAAUCAUCGAAUCUUUGAACGCACAUUGCGCCCGCCAGUAUUCUGGCGGGCAUGCCUGUUCGAGCGUCAUUACAACCCUCAGGCCCCCGGGCCUGGCGUUGGGGAUCGGCAGAAGCCCCCUGUGGGCACACGCCGUCCCUCAAAUACAGUGGCGGUCCCGCCGCAGCUUCCAUUGCGUAGUAGCUAACACCUCGCGACUGGAGAGCGGCGCGGCCAUGCCGUAAAACACCCAACUUCUGAAUGUUGACCUCGAAUCAGGUAGGAAUACCCGCUGAACUUAAGCAUAUCAAUAAGCGGAGGA
rnacentral:misc_RNA from 1 species